CGCCUGCCCGCAAAUACCACCUUGGUUUUUUUUCCCCAUAGAGCAUUGACCUAACUCUGUUCCAGGAAUGGUCUGAGAAAGAAGAUACUAAAAUAGGAUAUUAGAGCUGUUUUGCCCACUGGCUGGCUGACAAGGAGGAUUCCAUCACUGAUGAUAUGUGGAGUACAGAAAACCCCUGGCAUGGUGUGGAAGUGGUCUUGUUAACACUCUUGCUGACGUUAAACUGGGAUGGGAUGCUAGAGUUUUCAACACUUUGACUCUGAUAUAUGACGGUGAUGUACCUAGGUGCGACCAGUCCAUAACAAGCAAGUGGAAAGUCAAAGUAACUGAUUUAGAGCACAGACUAAAAGCAGAUGACUCUCUAAGUCUCCAAAGGACUCAAAGAGUGGAAAACGACUGGGUAUAUUUUGCCAGCAUCUUUUAUAAACCCACAUUGCUGCAUUGUGCUCCUUAGCUGAUGAGGGAAAAGUGGAGAUUUUCAUCUUAAAACCAAAUAUAAAAUUAAAUCAUCUCUUCAUUGAACUCCUUGACCAUGUUACUCUUAAAAUUAAAGGGUCUAUCAUGUCCAGCUUCCCCGG
rnacentral:lncRNA from 1 species